AGGAUUAACGCUGGCGGCGUGCAUGAAACGUGCAAGUCGAGCGCGGUGUGAUGCGGGGUAACCCAAUUCACAUCUAGCGGCGAACGGGUGAGUAACACGUGAGCAACCUACCUUUGAGUUGGGGAUAGCCCUGGGAAACCAGGAUUAAUACCCGAUGUGGUCACAACAGGACAUCCUGAUGUGAGUAAAGGCGUAAGCCGCUCAAUGACGGGCUCGCGGCCUAUUAGCUUGUUGGUGGGGUAACGGCCUACCAAGGCGAUGAUGGGUAGCUGGUCUGAGAGGACGAUCAGCCACACUGGGACUGAGACACGGCCCAGACUCCUACGGGAGGCAGCAGUGGGGAAUAUUGCGCAAUGGGCGAAAGCCUGACGCAGCGACGCCGCGUGGGGGAUGAAGGCCUUCGGGUUGUAAACCCCUUUCAGCAGGGACGAUUGUGACGGUACCUGCAGAAGAAGCCCCGGCAACUACGUGCCAGCAGCCGC
rnacentral:rRNA from 1 species